rnacentral:ncRNA from 1 species
GAGAGCCGGAUACAGGGAAACCGGUAUGUCCGGUUCGGGGAGGGACGGAUGGAAAAGGGUCGCAAGGCACCUCGCCAGCCGUCUACUCCGC